AUAAAUAAAUACUUUGAGCACAUUUUAUUUUGCCAACUCAAUGAAGAAGAUGUAAUGAUCAUGCCCCUUUCACAGAUGAAGGAACUGUGACUUGAGAGGCUAAGCAGCUAUUCAGAGAUGCACCACAGUUGAUCAAACAGGACUUGCACCCAGAUUGGAUGAUUCUAGAGCUCCAGUUUAUAGCCACUGACGCAUAGUGCUUCCCGGUGAUUUUUUUUUCUCAAAAAACUUUUUUUUUUUUUUUGCUUUUAUUUCCUCUGGAGUCCAGCUCUGCAGUUCGUUCAUUAAUCUACUUAUUUACACUCUUUUUUUUUUUCAGAAAUGAUGUAAGAUGGUUUACGAAAUGCAUUUAACAUAGUAAGUUAAAAUUAGCUUAAAAGUAGGUAAGAAAGGAAGGCCAAAAUUUAGGGCAUAAAAAGAAGUUGGAGCAAGAAGUGAAGCUAGUACAUAAAAAUGCGUGUCACAAGGUCCUGUACACUUGAUAGAAAAGGGUCUCAGCUCUGGCUCUGUUUCCUGGCAGCCAAUCAAAGAAGGGAGCAUAACUAGUUAUAAUAUUUAGUGUGUUUGUAAGAUAAAAACACAUCAGUUACUCAGAUGAAUGAGUAAUUCCUACCACUGAGACCUGAGUGAAACUUCUUUGUGGAUUCUCGCAGACGAGGUGGUGUGAGACAUAAUGACACAUAUUCUUACAGUAUUAGCAGCCAAGUCUCUUAGGGGAGAAUCUUCAGGUGGGCUGAGAGGGCGGGCGGGAAGGGGUAAACACGCGUAUGGGUAUAGCGGGACUGACUGUCAAGCAAUUCAGGCUAGACUUCUGUCUUUAGGAUCAGCAUAGAGGAUGAAAUGGAAUGCAGAAGCAUCCGCAUCAAUGGGUCAAUUAUGUAUGAGUAUCUACCGCUGUUUGAAUUAGCACAUUAAGCCAGUAUCUCAAAUCCCCUUACACACAGGUGGGGUCCACCAACAAAUGCAUAAUAUACCUCAAAAGCCAAUUUUGGGAGUGGGACUCUGCCUUCUCUCUUACUUUAAAAAAAUUGGAAUUAUCUACUUUCACUGAUGCCAUUUUUCUGUUUCUUCUAUUCUUAGGUAAAGAGUCCCAUGAAAGGGUGAAUGAUCCAUAUUAAAGCACCCUCUGUGAAAGAAAAUUCUUGAGAUACUGAAGUGUCGCUGGAUCCUUCAAAUCCCUCCCUGAAAAGUAUCGCAUGGUGGUGUCUCCUACAUUGAAGAUGAAGUGUGUCUCCUUCAGCGCCUCUGGAAAGAUUCCUGCAGGACCGGCAGAUCUUUCUGCUCCCAUUGUGCCCCUCACCCAUCCCUGCAGCCCAGCUACAGUUGUGCUUUACAUAGCUCAGUGUUUUAUUCUUUUCAUGGACCAUGGGGGGAGAAGAUUGCUAUGGAAUAUAAAGAUGUCCUAUUUUGCUCUCUAUCUUGACUCCAUUUCCAGGUACAGCUCAGUGCUGUGCAUGAUGACCUUAAAUACAGUGGAAACUUGAUUGUGUGCCUACAGACUCGGUUUUGUUGCAAGUCACAUUUUAUCACCCCUGCCCUCCAGUCGCCUCUAGGGGUGCAUUCUUAGAGAUAAGUUCACAAAAGUGAUGUUACUCUUGCUUCCCAACUCUAGCGAAGUAAUGGGGUUCAGCUCCAAACAGAGAAAGUGCUACUUGCACAGUAGCCUCACCUUCUGUAAAUGGAGGCCAUCCUAUUUAAUUGCCCCCAGCCUCCCCACCUUCUGUCUUCUCUUCCCAGUUGGCUGGCUUCCACAUGUAGCAUUUCAUGAGCAUCAAACCAAGAGAGAGAAGAGAGAGAUAGCCUGCACUGAUUUUUUUGUUUGUUUGUUUUUGUUGUCAGUGUUGCUCUUUUUAUUGGACCCACCAAGAUGCCUUGUAUAUGAUGCUUUUUUUUUUUUAGUGACCACUAUAUUGUUAAUAAAAAACAUCACCAGAAAGCUAACUGCA